AAGGAUGUCAUGUCGCUAUUCCUUACGGGAAGAGCAGGUUCGGAAGCACAGUGAGAAAGCCAGCCGAGGGAAGGGACUCCCUUUCAGAAAGUGGAAAAGAAGUGCAAAUGUUAAUCACUGGCGAAUGGAGAAAUGAAAUGUGACAGACCCAUGCAAUCUGAGAUUGUGCAGCCGACGGAAUAAGGCAACACUGAACCAUUACAGAAAAUGCUUAAGCACGUCACAAUUCCUGCAAUGA